rnacentral:rRNA from 1 species
GCCUGCAACCAAAUCACCCUGAAUGUGCCUGAUCUCAUCAGAUCUUGGAAGCUAAGCAGGAGUUGUCUGCUUUCUUCUUGGAUGGGAUACUGUCUCUGAAUACCGAGAGUUGUAGGCC